CGCCUCAGACCGGAAGGUGGACAGAGCGCGAGGAGAGAAGCUGGCUUCUCACCAAAGGAUGGUCCAAAAAUGCGAUCCCUGUUACACUUGUUACACCAUUAAUCUCUUUAUCAAAACCUUUUGUGUGAGUCCUGGUUCUCCUAAAAGAAGAGGCUAAAAUGAGAUUUAAAGCAGAAGGAUUUUAUUAGGGGAAAGAUGUGAAAAAAAUAGGGAGGGAUCCAGAGAUGGUUAGGAGGGCCAUCAGACCCUGAAUGAAGAAGAGAAGGGGGAGGAAGUUUUCGUGGGAGCAUCCUAGACCACCGUGCAGUCUGGAAGGUUCUCGGGGCCAUUGGUGCGUCGUUCCUCUGCUCCAUCAUUGCCUGGGAGCAGCAGCCCGCGGGAUGUCAGAGCUGGCACUGGGGCCCUGGAUCAAUUACAGGCACUGGAGCAGCAGGUCCCAGAGGCACAUGGUCAUAGCGGCUCCACCUCUCUUCCUAGUUACGGGGUUCCAGUUUCAAGUUCAAAUCCGUGUUUGUCUGGACCAGGGCUUUCUGCGCGGCUUUCGAAUGUGGGCGGCAAUCGAAGACAGAAAGUUUGCACGCCACAGCAUUUCAGCAGCUGAAUAGCGCGAUGGUUUGUGAAGACCAAUGGGCUAGCUGGGCAGGAAGGCCAGAAGUGGAGUUUGUCCCCGGCCUGACGUGGGUAACCUUGACUAUAAAGAAACCACCACAAUACAGAUGGCCCUGAAAUUUGAAGCGAGGCGACCGCAAUAUGCAGAUCGGGAACUCGGAGCCGCGCGUCCAUUGGCUGAUUCCUGCUGUGACGUCACAAAGGGCCAGCCCCAACGUGGCCAGAAGUGCUGCGGGCAAGUUUCUGGACCAGUUGAAAAGCUUUUAUUAUUUUUGUGUGUGUGCGAGCCCUUUUUUUUUUUUUAAAUCAGCUGGUGCUGGUUUCCUGCAUUUCCUGUUAGGGGGAAAAAACCGUUUUCAUGUACAGCGAGAGCUGAAGAACUCAGGGCCAAAGAGCGUUUUGUUCUCUGUGGGGCGGCUCUGUCUCUUUACUUGGGGUUGACCAGUGUUGUGCACGAAAAUGACAUGCGGAAAGCUGUAAAUUCCGAAAAGCUCUGGGGACCUCAGGACCCUCUUCAGCGUCGUGGUUUCCAAGAAGCCCCACACUGACCCAAACCCUGUUCGAGGCAAACGCAGAAUCAAGUUCCCUGGCUCAUGAGUUUCUGACAGUCUCCCACCCAGCGUGAAGUUCCCAAUUUCGAUGUCUGAAGAGCAGAAGUUUAUCACAGCCCAGAGAGAAAGAUUAUGGCAGGAUCACAAAAUAGAUACCUACAAGCUUUGCACGUCCAAGGAUUGUCUUUCCCAAACAGUCGCCCUUGAAAUGUCUGGCGGCAACUGUGACUGCCUCUUGGUCCCCUGAAGCCACUGGGAAUUUUUCCAACAUCUCUCACCACGGGGAAUGCCGCCUCCCCAGACUGGCACAGACAGAGAUGUGACACAACUGAAACUUUCCCUGGGGGUGGGCUGGGGUGAGGGGACACUCUGCGUUGUUGGUUUGAUUUGCCCAGAUGCCAUGUUACCUCCCGGGAAUAGCAUCCAUUUUUUUCCUUUGGGGAAUCAUCCCAACCUCAUUGUCAGUCUUUGUUGGCAUGGAGGGGAUCCCCUGUCCCAGGCCUGGCCCAUCCCUGUGUUCCAUUCUCCUGGAUACUCAGUGAUUAGAUGAGGACCAGGCACGUCGCACACAUGGCUGGUGAUGGUCAAUCCUGGGACCUCAUGGGAACUCUGAGAAUCGGUGCUCUCUCUUCUCAGUGGGAUUGCUAAACUGGUGAGACAUAGCCAGGGAGCUAACGGUGACCAUCUUUGCCCCAACAAAGAAAGAGGCUAUUCAACAAUGAAGUCAAUACAAAAAAAGAUGGGAUAGAAGAGAGAGACAGAUUUCUGACAUUGUUUGAACACCUGGAUCCAGCUGUGCCUGAAAGAAGACCCUGUACCUUUUAGUUAAUGGACUCAGUACAUUUUCAUUUUGAUGUAAGUCUGAUUGAGUUGAGUUUCUCUUAACUCAGCAAGAGUCCUCACUUGUACAUCCAAUUGCAAGCCAAGUGUGACCCUCGAGGGUGGGCUUAGGGCCACAAUAGGCUCCUCCCUGUAUGGUUUCAUGCUGAUUCACUUCUGCUUCUCUAACACUUGGUAGGGGAGGGGAAGAGUUGGCAUGACGGCACAUAGAUGACAGAUAGGGGAGAUUGGUUGUUGUGGAGUAGGACAGCUCAGGGAUCGAAUGAAGAGGAUUGGAGUCAGAGCUGGGCAACUGACAUCGCCUCUCUGAGCCCUCGCUUCCCUCCUCUGUAACAAGGGGGUAAUAAAAGUCUCUGCCACUUGGUGUUGUGUGGAGGUUUUAUGCACAGCGUCUGGGGAGAUGGGCUCCCUGCUCCUGGCCUCUGGUGCAAUGUAGGGGCGGCGAGCCGAGGGCUCUGAAAGCCUUCACUGCGGUCGUAACCAACAGCUCUGAGCCUCUGUUGACACUGCCGGCCACGAGCACCUGCCGAGCCAGCAGCCUGCACCUGCCACCCGCCACUCCAGGAAGGGAUUCCGACCCCACCAGAGCAGGCGGCCUCCAUUCUAGGCCGGAUCUUGGCUGUGUGCAGAGUCUGCGAGCCCGCCCACCUGUUCUGCAACCCCAGCUGGGCUCCGUCUUUGCCCGUCC
rnacentral:lncRNA from 1 species